rnacentral:rRNA from 1 species
AGCGAACGCUGGCGGCAGGCCUAACACAUGCAAGUCGAGCGCCCGUAGCAAUACGGGAGCGGCAGACGGGUGAGUAACACGUGGGAACGUACCCUUCGGUUCGGAAUAACCCAGGGAAACCUGGAUUAAUACCGGAUACGUCCGUAAGGGGAAAGAUUUAUCGCCGAAGGAUCGGCCCGCGUCCGAUUAGCUUGUUGGUGGGGUAAUGGCCCACCAAGGCUACGAUCGGUAGCUGGUCUGAGAGGAUGAUCAGCCACACUGGGACUGAGACACGGCCCAGACUCCUACGGGAGGCAGCAGUGGGGAAUAUUGGACAAUGGGCGCAAGCCUGAUCCAGCCAUGCCGCGUGGGUGAUGAAGGCCCUAGGGUUGUAAAGCCCUUUCGGCGGGGAAGAUAAUGACGGUACCCGCAGAAGAAGCCCCGGCUAACUUCGUGCCAGCCGCCGCCGUAAAAC